rnacentral:piRNA from 2 species
UGCGUGACAUCAAAGAGAAGCUGUGCUA